UAGCUGGUAAGGGCAUGGUGGGAUCUAAGUCGUUUCUAGAUUCCAAGCUCUUGCUUUCUCUACAUCCAUAGUAUUAAUCUCUUUUAUUGUACUAAAAUAAAAUAUUGGCGGUGAGCUUUUUACUUUCAGAAUCACCCUCCUGCCUCUUUGGCACACAGGUAAGAAGGGUAGAUAGAGACACAGACUCAGACACUGGAAUCCUUUCUGUUAUUUGUAGUUAUAACCCAGGUUCCCUGCAUUCAAGGAGCCCCCUUGUAUGAGUCAGUUCUUGCAUUGCUAUACAGAAAUACCCGAGACAGGGUAAUUUAUGAAGAAAAGAGGUUUAAUUGGCUCACAGUUCCACAGACUGUACCGGAAGCACAGCAGCUUAUUCUAGGAGGCCUCAGGGAGCUUUUACUCAUGGUUAAAGGCAAAGUGGGAGGAAGUGUCUUACAUGGAAGGAGCAGGACUGAGAGAGAGGGGGAGGUGCCAUAAACUUUUAAACAACCAGAUCUCAUGAAAACUCACCCACUCUCAUGAGAACAGCACUGAGGGGAUAAUGUCAAUGUACUCAUGAACUAAAAAUAUUUUUAAAAUCACAUUUUCAGUAAGAAAGGGUGAGAGACAGUUCUAAGAUUAAUUUAUCUUUCUACUUAAUCUUGGGGCUGAUUUUAAAUCCGUUUUAAAGUCUUACUGUGGCUUCACUGUUCCAGCUCAUAGUCCAGAAGUGUUAACAUAAAACCACGUUGCAU
rnacentral:lncRNA from 1 species